rnacentral:rRNA from 1 species
AUGAACGCUGGCGGCGUGCCUAAUACAUGCAAGUCGAGCGAACGGACGAGAAGCUUGCUUUUCUGAUGUUAGCGGCGGACGGGUGAGUAACACGUGGAUAACCUACCUAUAAGACUGGGAUAACUUCGGGAAACCGGAGCUAAUACCGGAUAAUAUUUUGAACCGCAUGGUUCAAAAGUGAAAGACGGUCUUGCUGUCACUUAUAGAUGGAUCCGCGCUGCAUUAGCUAGUUGGUAAGGUAACGGCUUACCAAGGCAACGAUGCAUAGCCGACCUGAGAGGGAGGACGCCCACACGGGAAGAGAGACAGGGCCGCAACACCGAGGGGGGGAAACAGUAGGGACUCUUCCGAGAGGGGGGAAGGGUUAAUGGCGAAACGCGGGGGAAGGGAUGAGGUUGUUAGGAUGUGAAACUUUUGUAAUUAGGAAAGAAAAAAUGGGAAAGUAACAGGGACGAUCAUGACGGUACCUAAAAAAAAAGCCCGGGCUAACUCCGUG